AUGAGGCUAAAUUUUAUCUUUGAAGCUCAACUCUUGUUCCUUUUAUUUUUGCUUUUCUCAAUAAUAGUCUCUUCAAGGCCACUUACAAGUGAACAAGGGGAGAACUUUUUUUUGGAGUUAGAAGGAGGUGAAUCUUUGAAGGUUAUGGAAAUGGAGAAUUGCAAUAUUGAAGAUGAAGAAUGUAUGCAGAGAAGAAUGACUUUAGAAGCUCACCUAGAUUACAUUUACACCCAACAUCAUAAGCCUUGA